rnacentral:rRNA from 1 species
ACGUGAGUAACCUUCCCUUGACUCUGGGAUAAGCCCGGGAAACUGGGUCUAAUACCGGAUAUGACUUCUCAUCGCAUGGUGGGGGGUGGAAAGAUUUAUCGGUCUUGGAUGGACUCGCGGCCUAUCAGCUUGUUGGUGAGGUAAUGGCUCACCAAGGCGACGACGGGUAGCCGGCCUGAGAGGGUGACCGGCCACACUGGGACUGAGACACGGCCCAGACUCCUACGGGAGGCAGCAGUGGGGAAUAUUGCACAAUGGGCGCAAGCCUGAUGCAGCGACGCCGCGUGAGGGAUGACGGCCUUCGGGUUGUAAACCUCUUUCAGUAGGGAAGAAGCGAAAGUGACGGUACCUGCAGAAGAAGCGCCGGCUAACUACGUGCCAGCAGCCGCGGUAAUACGUAGGGCGCGAGCGUUAUCCGGAAUUAUUGGGCGUAAAGAGCUCGUAGGCGGUUUGUCGCGUCUGCCGUGAAAGUCCGGGGCUUAACCCCGGAUCUGCGGUGGGUACGGGCAGACUAGAGUGCAGUAGGGGAGACCGGAAUUCCUGGUGUAGCGGUGAAAUGCGCAGAUAUCAGGAGGAACACCGAUGGCGAAGGCAGGUCUCUGGGCUGUUACUGACGCUGAGGAGCGAAAGCAUGGGGAGCGAACAGGAUUA